CAAAAACGCUUUAGAAAACCACUAACCACAGACGACUUGGAACACUGGCUAGCUAAUACUACACGAGACUUUGACUGGACAUUUGGUAUAGGAUCAUGGAUAGGAGGACUUGGGAUGAAAAUAUUAAAGGGAAUUGUGUGGUGUGUUUUUAUUAUACUUUGUGUUUACCUAUGCUACAAACUUACCAUUUGCUGCAUUCAAAGAGUAGCUACAUGUAAAACAGAUGCCAGGAUAGAAUUAGAAGAGUGACAAAUGCUUUUAUAGAUAGA
rnacentral:lncRNA from 1 species